GGCGCGCCGGGGGGCGCAUGGGGCGGCGAUGGGGUCCCGGGCCGGGGCCGGUGGCUGCGGAGCGCGGCGGCACCGGGAGGCACCGGGAGGCACCGGAGGCUCUGGCACCUGCCCCUCCGCGGCGCCGCUGACCCACUUCUGCCCGAGCAUGUGGCCGUUCACAUGACGAGCCCGCGCGGCACCGCCCCCCCCAAAUCGGUUUCACUUCAAGCCCCACCUCCUGCCCUUCCUCCUCCUCCUCCUCCUCCUCCUCUUUCGCCCUGCCGCCGUGCGCUCGGCGCUGCGCGUCGGGUGCUGCACGACGGGCAUGGCACACAGGGCGCUGCAUGUCGGGUGCUGCACAUUGGACAUGGCACACUGGGUGCUGUACAUCGGGUGCUGCACGCUGGUGGACGCACAUCGGGUGCUGCACGCUGGGUGCUGCACGCUGGGCAUUGCACACUGGGUGCUGCACACCNNNNNNNNNNGCUGCACAUUGGACAUUGCACACUGGGCAUUGCACGCUGGGCAUUGCACACAGGGCGCUGCGCAUCGGGUGCUGCACGUCGGGUGCUGCACGCUGGGCAUUGCACGCUGGGUGCUGUACAUUGGGUGCUGCACGCUGGUGGACACACAUCGGGUGCUGUGCGCUGGGUGCUGCACACUGGGCAUUGCACACUGGGUGCUGCACACCGGGUGCUGCACAUUGGUUCGUGCACAUCAGGUGCUUGCUGCACGUGGGGUGCUGCAUGUUGGGUGCUGUGCUGGGUGCUUGGUGCUGCCCGCCCAUGGGAGGGCCAUGCCUGGCCCGGCUCGCCCAGGCACGAGGACGUCUGCGUGUCCCGCUGAGUCACUGCACCGCGGCCCUUUGCACCAUUCUCUGCCCGGCCCCGUUUGGCACAGGGACGCGCACCUCCAGGCGGGCUCCCCAAAGCAGGCACUCGCCACUCACCGAGAUUGCCGCUGUUGUGACAGUCGCCACCGAAGCUCGCCAGAGCAAGAGCAAAAAUAUCCCCCAGGUGCCCGGCGCAACCCAAAACUAUGAGGUUGCAUAAGCGCACACCACGCCUCGCGGUGAGCAACGCCGGACCCACGCACGCCGCCUGCACCUUGCGCCCCACAGCUCCUUAACCCUUCGUGCACGGCGCUGAC
rnacentral:lncRNA from 1 species